UCCCUGAUGGUUUAGAUGGCAAAGCAUCUGCUUGCAAGGCUGGAGACCUGGGUUCGAUCCCUGGGUAGGGAA
rnacentral:tRNA from 1 species